CCUACGGGCGGCAGCAGUGAGGAAUAUUGGUCAAUGGACGAGAGUCUGAACCAGCCAAGUCGCGUGAAGGAUGACUGCCCUAUGGGUUGUAAACUUCUUUUAUAUGGGAAUAAAAUGUUCCACGUGUGGGAUUUUGUAUGUACCAUAUGAAUAAGGCUCGGCUAACUCCGUGCCAGCAGCCGCGGUAAUACGGAGGAUCCGAGCGUUAUCCGGAUUUAUUGGGUUUAAAGGGAGCGUAGGUGGAUUGUUAAGUCAGUUGUGAAAGUUUGCGGCUCAACCGUGAAAUUGCAGUUGAAACUGGCAGUCUUGAGUACAGUAGAGGUGGGCGGAAUUCGUGGUGUAGCGGUGAAAUGCUUAGAUAUCACGAAGAACUCCGAUUGCGAAGGCAGUUCACUGGACUGCAACUGACACUGAGGCACGAAAGUGUGGGUAUCAAACAGGAUUAGAUACCCUGGUAGUC
rnacentral:rRNA from 1 species